rnacentral:rRNA from 1 species
UUGGAGGGCAAGUCUGGUGCCAGCAGCCGCGGUAAUUCCAGCUCCAAUAGCGUAUAUUAAAGUUGUUGCAGUUAAAAAGCUCGUAGUUGAACUUCGAGAUCAGUACGCUGGUCGUGCCUUCGGUAUGCACUGGUGUCACUGGUUUCUCCCUUCUGAAGAACCGUCAUGCCAUUCAGUUGGUGUGGCGGGGAAUCAGGACUGUUACUUUGAAAAAAUUAGAGUGUUUAAAGCAGGC